rnacentral:rRNA from 1 species
UACGGAGUGUGCAAGCGUUACUCGGAAUCACUGGGCAUAAAGCGCGCGUAGGCGGGCUUUCAAGUCGGUUGUGAAAUCCCUCAGCUCAACUGAGGAACUGCAUCCGAUACUGUUUGUCUAGAGGACCGGAGGGGGGUAUGGAACUCUCGGUGUAGCGGUGAAAUGCGUAGAUAUCGAGAGGAACACCGGUGGCGAAAGCGGUACCCUGGCCGGUUUCUGACGCUGAGGCGCGAAAGCGUGGGUAGCAAACAGG